CGCUGGUAAAAUGGAACCAAAUCAACAUUUCAACGGCUUUGGUCCCCUUCAACCAGCUC
rnacentral:pre_miRNA from 1 species